rnacentral:rRNA from 1 species
AAUUGCCAUCAUUCAUUGGGCACUUUAAAGAGACUGCCGGUGUUAAACCGGAGAAGUGGGGAUGACGUCAAGUCCUCAUGGCCUUUAUGCCCAGGGCUACACACGUGCUACAAUGGGUGGUACAAAGAGAUGCAACCUCGCAAGAGCAAGCAAACCUCAAAAAAGCCAUCCUCAGUUCGGAUUGGAGUCUGCAACUCGACUCCAUGAAGUCGGAAUCGCUAGUAAUCGCGGAUCAGCACGCCGCGGUGAAUACGUUCCCGGGCCUU